AUGGUCUCCAGGCUCCUCUGCUGUGUGGCUCUUUGUCUCCUGGGAGCAGAUGAGUCCUCUCCAGUGAAUGCUGGUGUCACUCAGAACCCAAAAUUCCAGGUCCUGGGAACAGGACAGAACACGACACUGAGAUGUACCCAGGAUAUGAACCACAACUCUAUGUACUGGUAUCGACAAGACCUGAGACAUGGGCUGAGACUGAUCCAUUAUUCACGUGCUGCUAAUGUCACUGAAAAGGGAGAUAUUCCCGAAGGGUACAGAGUCUCUAGACCAAAUACAGAGAACUUCCUCUUCACAGUAGAGUCUGCUACCCCCUCCCAGACAUCUGUGUACUUCUGUGCCAGCAGUUACUCCACAGCGCUGCAUGGCUGA